rfam:Zootermopsis nevadensis contig5657, whole genome shotgun sequence.
GCCACGGUGGUCUAGCGGUUAGAACGCUGGCCUAGUAAUCCUGGGGUCUCGGGUUCGAUUCCCGGCGGUGCCC